rnacentral:lncRNA from 1 species
UAUUUUUUAAUAUUAAAAGCAUAUUUAUUGUUACCAAAUAAAUAUUAAAGUUUGAUAGUAUCUUAGAAAUGCAGUUAUUAUAAAAAGCUUUUCAUUUAAAGCUCAACUAGUAAAAGCUCUACUUCUAAAAGAUCUACUAUCAAAAGCUUUGCUAUCAAUAGCAAUCCUAAAUAGAGUCUUACUAGUGUAUAGUGCAUGCAAUACGGCAAGAACAAUGAGAUAAUACAAAAAACACAAACAUGUAUGUUAGAGAAGAGUGCACACCAGAAAAAAAAGUUCUAGAUAUUUUGUAUGGAGAAAUGAUUCAAGAUAUAGAUGUAACAUGGCUGGGGAAAGUGGGCAAUAUCCUAAGAAACAUAGAGAUACCAAGAAUGUGAUGCAUCUUGGCAUGCAAACUCCAAAGUUUGCUUUAUAUGUUAGAAAUUAGAUAUAUAAAUUCUUGUAAAAUUCUCUAUUUCCUUCUACAUACUAAUUUUUGUUGAUUGAACCCUAGUUAAGGUUAACUAGGGGUAUAAAAGGAUAGUUUAUCUUUAUCUUAGUACGUCAAG